AAUAAACACAAUUAAAAACUAUUCCAGAAGCUUGUAAAGUAAAAUGAAUUGGCAGAAAUGAAACUUAGCUCUGGUAACCCUUCUUCUCCCUCAUUUAAACCAAAACCCCCUUGUAUCAGCCAUUGAAGAGACCCAUUCCCUCCCAGAAUCAAAUCUUUCUAGAGCCACAGUCUCUGACAAAAUCUCGAGUUCAUCGGGCAAUCAAAAUCACUGAGCCCGGACUCUACCUCUUCAUCUAUCCUCCAUAACCAUCGUUUCGUCUCUCUUGAUUCACCAGGUUUUCCACUGCAGGCGGUACCUUCUCUAUCCAGUAUCGAGGGUGCUAAAAUCGGAUUCCUUCCUUUGCCAUCUCAUGAGUAGCGUUGUUGGCUUCCCUAGGUACGUGCUUGAAACACAAUCUCCUAAACUUGAAAACUCUCCCCUUGAUUUCUUUAAUCAAACUGCUAAUACACGAUCGAUCUUCUUCUGCAGAGUUCAGUUUUCGUAUAAUAGUAAGCGCAUCUCCUUCAACACAAACAUCCUAAAAACCCAGCUCUUCUGCCAUUACAAUAGCUUGUAAACAUGCCCGUGCCUCAUCCAUUAAUGGAUCUAAAAUAUUAUCCCAUGGAAAGUUACAGGCUGCCAUAGGCAAACACUCUUUAUCUCGUGCAAUGAUACCUGAAAUAGAGCUUCUUGUGAUUCGGUUAAAUGAGGCGUCGAAAUUAAUUUUGAUGGUGUCAUUAUCCGGCGGUUGCCAGACUGAGUCUUUAAUUUCAUGUGUAUUUUGUAAUAUCUCCCCCAUACUAGAAAUUUCUGCAUAGUAAGCCUUGACAAAUCCAACAACUUCAUGUACCUGCUCUCUGACUCCUUCAUGAUAUAGAUUGUUGCGAUUAUACCAGAUGGCCCAGUAAGCGAUAGAUUUAAUGUUGCAUGCUUCCAGACUCGUAUUUUCAAAAUCCGCUACUAACCAUGUUUUCCAAUUGGCUUGUCUGUUGCAUGUUGAAAAUGGCAUCUCCAAACCCCGCAAAACCUGCUGUGUGAAGGGACACUCCCUAAAAAGAUGGUACACCGACUCCUCCUCAGAUCUGCAUACCGGACAUAAAGGAUUGACAGCCAAUUGGCGAGCUUUUAG
rnacentral:lncRNA from 1 species